CACGUAGGAGACGAGCGUUAUCCGGAUUUACUGGGUGUAAAGCGCGUGCAGGCGGUUUGGAAAGUUGGAUGUGAAAGCUCCUGGCUUAACUGGGAGAGGUCGUUCAAAACUACCAGACUAGAGUACAGCAGAGGGGAGUGGAAUUCCGAGUGUAGCGGUAAAAUGCAUAGAUAUUCGGAAGAACACCAGUGGGGUAGGCGGCUCCCUGGGCUGAAACUGACGCUCAGACGCGAAAGCUAGGGUAGCGAACGGG
rnacentral:rRNA from 1 species